rnacentral:rRNA from 1 species
CUGCUUUUGUACCGGAAUAAACCUUUUCACGUGUGAGAAGCUGAAUGUACGGUAAGAAUAAGGAUCGGCUAACUCCGUGCCAGCAGCCGCGGUAAUACGGAGGAUCCAAGCGUUAUCCGGAUUUAUUGGGUUUAAAGGGUGCGUAGGUGGCCUAUUAAGUCAGGGGUGAAAGACGGUAGCUUAACUAUCGCAGUGCCUUUGAUACUGAUGGGCUUGAAUACACUUGAGGUAGGCGGAAUGUGACAAGUAGCGGUGAAAUGCAUAGAUAUGUCACAGAACACCAAUUGCGAAGGCAGCUUACUAAAGUGUUAUUKACACUGAGGCACGAAAGCGUGGGGAUCAAACAGGAUUAGAUACCCUGGUAGUCCACGCCCUAAACGAUGAAUACUCGAUGUUGGCGAUAUACGGUCAGCGUCUAAGCGAAAGGKUUAAGUAUUCCACCUKGGGAGUACGCCCGCAAGGUGAAAACUYAAAGGAAUUUACGGGGGCCCGCACAAGCGRGGGAGCAUKUGGUUUAAUUCGAUGAUACGCGAGGAACCUUACCCGGGCUUUAAAGUUAGUGAAUKUGUCAGAGACGUCACAGUCCUUCGGGACACGAAACUWGGUKCUUCAUUGCUUUCGUCAGCUYGUGCCGUGAGUUUUKGGKUAAG